GACGAACGCGGCGGCGUGCUUAACACAUGCAAGUCGAACGGAGCGAAUGAAAGCUUGCUUUUAUAAGCUUAGUGGCAAACGGGUGAGUAACACGUAGACAACCUGCCGACAGGAUGGGGACAACAUUCCGAAAGGAAUGCUAAUACCGAAUGAAGUGCAGGGGAGGCAUCUCCCCUGCAUGAAAGAUGGCCUCUGAAUAUGCUAUUACCUGUUGAUGGGUCUGCGUCUGAUUAGCUGGUAGGUGAGGUAACGGCUCACCUAGGCGACGAUCAGUAGCCGGUCUGAGAGGAUGAACGGCCACAUUGGGACUGAGACACGGCCCAGACUCCUACGGGAGGCAGCAGUGGGGAAUCCUCCGCAAUGGGCGCAAGCCUGACGGAGCAACGCCGCGUGAGUGAAGAAGGUCUUCGGAUCGUAAAGCUCUGUUGAUGGGGACGAACAUGCCUAAUGCGAAUAGUUUAGGCCAAUGACGGUACCC
rnacentral:rRNA from 1 species